UAAAUUUCAUCCCAUACAAAAAACUCCACUCCGUCACAUUUUUUGGGGACGAAAAACAACACAACGAAUAGAAUUUUGACCCCCCUCCCUAGCUGUCAGUACCUAAAACGCGCACACUGUCUAUUUGUAUCGGAAUAAACGAGAUAGCACUGUCGCAUGUUACUGGGCCUGGGCAAGGGAAUAAAAAGAAAACUUU